UAGGGAAUCUUCGGCAAUGGGGGGAACCCUGACCGAGCAACGCCGCGUGAGUGAAGAAGGUUUUCGGAUCGUAAAGCUCUGUUGUUAAGGAAGAACGAGUGUGAGAAUGGAAAGUUCAUGCUGUGACGGUACUUAACCAGAAAGGGACGGCUAACUACGUGCCAGCAGCCGCGGUAAUACGUAGGUCCCGAGCGUUGUCCGGAUUUAUUGGGCGUAAAGCGAGCGCAGGCGGUUAGAAAAGUCUGAAGUGAAAGGCAGUGGCUCAACCAUUGUAGGCUUUGGGAAAUGUUUAACUUGAGUGCAGAAGGGGAGAGUGGAAUUCCAUGUGUAGCGGUGAAAUGCGUAGAUAGAUGGAGGAACACCGGUGGCGAAAGCGGCUCUCUGGUCUGUAACUGACGCUGAGGCUCGAAAGCGUGGGGAGCGAACAGG
rnacentral:rRNA from 1 species